rnacentral:rRNA from 1 species
UACGUAGGGGGGCUAGCGUUGUCCGGAAUCAUUGGGCGUAAAGCGCACGUAGGCGGAUCGAUCAGUCAGGGGUGAAAUCCCAGAGCUCAACUCUGGAACUGCCUUUGAUACUGUCGAUCUGGAGUAUGGAAGAGGUGAGUGGAAUUCCGAGUGUAGAGGUGAAAUUCGUAGAUAUUCGGAGGAACACCAGUGGCGAAGGCGGCUCACUGGUCCAUUACUGACGCUGAGGUGCGAAAGCGUGGGGAGCAAACAGG